rnacentral:rRNA from 1 species
CCCGCACAAGCGGCGGAGCAUGCGGAUUAAUUCGAUGCAACGCGAAGAACCUUACCAAGGCUUGACAUACACCGGAAACGGCCAGAGAUGGUCGCCCCCUUGUGGUCGGUGUACAGGUGGUGCAUGGUUGUCGUCAGCUCGUGUCGUGAGAUGUUGGGUUAAGUCCCGCAACGAGCGCAACCCUCGUUCUAUGUUGCCAGCGGGUUAUGCCGGGGACUCAUAGGAGACUGCCGGGGUCAACUCGGAGGAAGGUGGGGAUGACGUCAAAUCAUCAUGCCCCUUAUGUCUUGGGCUUCACGCAUGCUACAAUGGCCGGUACAAAGGGCUGCGAUACCGUAAGGUGGAG